rnacentral:tRNA from 1 species
CGCGGGGUGGAGCAGCUCGGUAGCUCGUCGGGCUCAUAACCCGAAGGUCGCCGGUUCAAAUCCGGCCCCCGCAACCA